rnacentral:rRNA from 1 species
UAUGUGAUCGUCUCUCGCAUAUCAAUAAGCGGAGGAAAAGAAACUAACAAGGAUUCCCCUAGUAACGGCGAGUGAAGCGGGAAGAGCUCAAAUUUGAAAGCUUAAAGGGUUUCCCUUUACGAAUUGUAGUUUAAAGAAGUGUUUUCUGUUGAGGUUUUGGUAAAAGUUCUUUGGAAUAGGACAUCAUAGAGGGUGAGAAUCCCGUAUUUGACCUUUACUUUCAACUUUGUGAUACACUUUCAAAGAGUCGGAUUGUUUGGGAAUGCAGUCCAAAAUGGGUGGUAAAUUUCAUCUAAAGCUAAAUAUUGGCGAGAGACCGAUAGCGAACAAGUACCGUGAGGGAAAGAUGAAAAGAACUUUGAAAAGAGAGUUAAACAGUACGUGAAAUUGUCAAAAGGGAAGCGUUUGACACCAGUGUUGUUUUUCUGAAAAUCAAUUAAAGAACUGUUUAUGCUAAGCUGUUUAGACUUUAUCAGCUAUCUGUUUAGUUUUGAGCUUUUCUUUAAUGCACUUUUCAGUUAACAAGUCAACAUCAAUUUCUUUUGCUGUAAAAAAGCUUGAGGAAGGUGGCUUGAGAUUCGUCUUAAGUGUUUAUAGCCUCUUGCCUAUGCAGUCGGAGAGAUUGAGGUCUGCAGCGUAGAUCCUUCGGGGCUAAAUGCAUUUGUGCUAAGUUAUAGCAUUUUAUAGACAACUUGUUGACUAUGAUUUGUCUUGUAGCUUACUCGCUUAUGUUAUUUUACCUACGCUUAGGAUGUUGAAGACUCUACAGAGAUA